rnacentral:lncRNA from 1 species
AAGUGGCAAGGAUGUUAUUGACGAUAUCCAUGGAUGAACUCGAUAAUCUGUGAAGUUUUUGUUAGAGAGAUAGUUCUCAUAAUAAUUAGCGGGCAGACAGAAUUUACUUUGUAAAUAUUUAUUUCAUCUUAAAUGGGGGGACGGACAGAUCGUUGUGCUUCACAAUUUAAUAUUGAAAACCAAUGGAUACUGGUCACUGUGAAAGGCCAUCGUUUAAUUUUUAGCAUUCAUUCUUAAGACAUAGGUUUCCUUACUCGAGAAAUUUAUUCUGUAUAGGGAAGUCUCAAUUCUAUUUGAGGAUACGGAUGAAUGACC